rnacentral:rRNA from 1 species
AGCCUGAACGCUGGCGGCGUGGCUAAGACAUGCAAGUCGCACGGGCCCGCAAGGGUCAGUGGCGAACGGGUGAGUAAUGAAUCGCUAACGUACCCCGGACUCUGGGAUAGCCGGCCGAAAGGCCGGGUAAUACCAGUAUAAUGUAACUUUGUCGCAUGACAGGGUUCCCAAAGGUCCGCC